GCAUAUCAAUAAGCGGAGGAAAAGAAACCAACAGGGAUUGCCCCCAGUAACGGCGAAGUGAAGCGGCAAGAAGCUCAAAUUUGAAAGCUGGCUCCUUCGGGGUCCGCAUUGUAAUUUGCAGAGGAUGCUUCGGGAGCGGUCCCCAUCUAAGUGCCCUGGAACGGGACGUCAUAGAGGGUGAGAAUCCCGUAUGGGAUGGGGUGUCCGCGCCCGUGUGAAGCUCCUUCGACGAGUCGAGUUGUUUGGGAAUGCAGCUCUAAAUGGGUGGUAAAUUUCAUCUAAAGCUAAAUAUUGGCCGGAGACCGAUAGCGCACAAGUAGAGUGAUCGAAAGAUGAAAAGCACUUUGAAAAGAGAGUUAAAAAGCACGUGAAAUUGUUGAAAGGGAAGCGCUUGCGACCAGACUCGCUCGCGGGGUUCAGCCGGCAUUCGUGCCGGUGUACUUCCCCGCGGGCGGGCCAGCGUCGGUUUGGGCGGUCGGUCAAAGGCCCUCGGAAGGUAACGCCCCUCGGGGCGUCUUAUAGCCGAGGGUGCAAUGCGACCUGCCCAGACCGAGGAACGCGCUUCGGCUCGGACGCUGGCAUAAUGGUCGUAAACGACCCGUCUUGAAACACGGACCAAGGAGUCUAACAUCUACGCGAGUGUUCGGGUGUCAAACCCGUGCGCGAAGUGAAAGCGAACGGAGGUGGGAACCCUCACGGGUGCACCAUCGACCGAUCCUGAAGUCUUCGGAUGGAUUUGAGUAAGAGCGUAGCUGUUGGGACCCGAAAGAUGGUGAACUAUGCCUGAAUAGGGCGAAGCCAGAGGAAACUCUGGUGGAGGCUCGUAGCGGUUCUGACGUGCAAAUCGAUCGUCGAAUUUGGGUAUAGGGGGCGAAAGACUAAUCGAACCAUCUGGUAGCUGGUUCCUGC
rnacentral:rRNA from 1 species